CCUACGGGCGGCAGCAGUGGGGAAUAUUGGGCAAUGGGCGCAAGCCUGACCCAGCAACGCCGCGUGAAGGAAGAAGGCUUUCGGGUUGUAAACUUCUUUGAUGAGGGACGAAGAAAGUGACGGUACCUGAGUAAUAAGCCACGGCUAACUACGUGCCAGCAGCCGCGGUAAUACGUAGGUGGCAAGCGUUAUCCGGAUUGAUUGGGUGUAAAGGGCGUGUAGGCGGGUGCGCAAGUCAGAUGUGAAAACUCAGGGCUCAACCCUGGGCCUGCAUCUGAAACUGUGUGUCUUGAGUGCUGGAGAGGUAAGUGGAAUUCCGUGUGUAGCGGUGGAAUGCGUAGAUAUAAGGAGGAACACCAGGGGCGAAGGCGAAUUGCUGGACAGUAACUGACGCUGAGGCGCGAAAGCGUGGGGAGCAAACAGGAUUAGAUACCCCAGUAGUC
rnacentral:rRNA from 1 species